UAAGGAAUAUUGGUCAAUGGAGGGAACUCUGAACCAGCCAUGCCGCGUGCAGGAUGACGGCCCUCUGGGUUGUAAACUGCUUUUAUUCGGGAAUAAACCUACUUACGUGUAAGUAGCUGAAUGUACCGAAGGAAUAAGGAUCGGCUAACUCCGUGCCAGCAGCCGCGGUAAUACGGAGGAUCCAAGCGUUAUCCGGAUUUAUUGGGUUUAAAGGGUGCGUAGGCGGCUUAUUAAGUCAGGGGUGAAAGACGGUGGCUCAACCAUCGCAGUGCCCUUGAUACUGAGGAGCUUGAAUACACUAGAGGUAGGCGGAAUGUGACAAGUAGCGGUGAAAUGCAUAGAUAUGUCACAGAACACCGAUUGCGAAGGCAGCUUACUAUGGUGUGAUUGACGCUGAGGCACGAAAGCGUGGGGAUCAAACA
rnacentral:rRNA from 1 species